GCGAAGCUCCUGAUCGAAGCCCCAGUAAACGGCGGCCGUAACUAUAACGGUCCUAAGGUAGCGAAAUUCCUUGUCGGGUAAGUUCCGACCUGCACGAAUGGCGUAAUGAUGGCCAGGCUGUCUCCACCCGAGACUCAGUGAAAUUGAACUCGCUGUGAAGAUGCAGUGUACCCGCGGCAAGACGGAAAGACCCCGUGAACCUUUACUAUAGCUUGACACUGAACAUUGAGCCUUGAUGUGUAGGAUAGGUGGGAGGCUUUGAAGUGUGGACGCCAGUCUGCAUGGAGCCAACCUUGAAAUACCACCCUUUAACGUUUGAUGUUCUAACCUAGGCCCAUAAACUGGGUCGGGGACCGUGUCUGGUGGGUAGUUUGACUGGGGCGGUCUCCUCCUAAAGAGUAACGGAGGAGCACGAAGGUUGGCUAAGCAUGGUCGGACAUCAUGCGGUUAGUGCAAAGGCAUAAGCCAGCUUGACUGCGAGAGUGACGGCUCGAGCAGGUACGAAAGUAGGUCUUAGUGAUCCGGUGGUUCUGAAUGGAAGGGCCAUCGCUCAACGGAUAAAAGGUACUCCGGGGAUAACAGGCUGAUACCGCCCAAGAGUUCAUAUCGACGGCGGUGUUUGGCACCUCGAUGUCGGCUCAUCACAUCCUGGGGCUGAAGUAGGUCCCAAGGGUAUGGCUGUUCGCCAUUUAAAGUGGUACGCGAGCUGGGUUUAGAACGUCGUGAGACAGUUCGGUCCCUAUCUGCCGUGGGCGUUGGAAGAUUGAGAGGGGUUGCUCCUAGUACGAGAGGACCGGAGUGAACGCACCACUGGUGUUCGGGUUGUCAUGCCAAUGGCAUUGCCCGGUAGCUAAGUGCGGAAGAGAUAACCGCUGAAAGCAUCUAAGCGGGAAACUUGCCUCGAGAUGAGUCUUCCCUGUC
rnacentral:rRNA from 1 species